UACGUAGGGUGCAAGCGUUGUCCGGAAUUAUUGGGCGUAAAGAGCUCGUAGGCGGUCUGUCACGUCGGCUGUGAAAACCCGGGGCUCAACCCCGGGCCUGCAGUCGAUACGGGCAAACUAGAGUGCGGUAGGGGAGACUGGAAUUCCUGGUGUAGCGGUGAAAUGCGCAGAUAUCAGGAGGAACACCGGUGGCGAAGGCGGGUCUCUGGGCCGUAACUGACGCUGAGGAGCGAAAGCGUGGGGAGCGAACAGG
rnacentral:rRNA from 1 species